UCCUGGUUAACCCAGGCAGUCUCAUUAGAGUUCCCAGCCGAACUGUUGGCAACUAAUGACAAGGGUUGCGCUCGUUGCGGGACUUAACCCAACACCUCACGGCACGAGCUGACGACAGCCAUGCAGCACCUGUAAAGCGGUCUGUAAAGAAAGCUACAUUUCUGUAGCGGUCCACUCUAUGUCAAGCCUAGGUAAGGUUCUUCGCGUUGCAUCGAAUUAAACCACAUGCUCCACUGCUUGUGCGGGUCCCCGUCAAUUCUUUUGAGUUUCACCCUUGCGAGCGUACUCCCCAGGCGGUGUACUUAACGCGUUAGCUACGGCACAACUGAGGUUGAGUUCAGUUACACCAAGUACACAUCGUUUACGGCUAGGACUAC
rnacentral:misc_RNA from 1 species